rnacentral:rRNA from 1 species
AGGGUUCGAUUCUGGCUCAGGAUGAACGCUGGCGGCGUGCUUAACACAUGCAAGUCGAACGAAGUUAAGUGAAACCUAGUGAUCUUAACUUAGUGGCGGACGGGUGAGUAACGCGUGGGUAACCUGCCGCAUGCAGGGGGACAACAGUUGGAAACGACUGCUCAUACCGCAUAAGCGCACGGGACCGCAUGGUCCAGUGUGAAAAAGAUUUUAUCGGCAUGCGAUGGACCCGCGUCCGAUUAGCCAGUUGGCGGGGUAACGGCCCACCAAAGCGACGAUCGGUAGCCGGCCUGAGAGGGUGAACGGCCACAUUGGGACUGAGACACGGCCCAAACUCCUACGGGAGGCAGCAGUGGGGAAUAUUGCACAAUGGGGGAAACCCUGAUGCAAGCGACGCCGCGUGAGUGAUGAAGUAUUUCGGUACGUAAAGCUCUAUCAGCAGGAAAGAAAAUGACGGUACCUGACUAAGAAGCCCCGGCUAACUACGUGCCAGCAGCAGC